UUCUUCAAUAUGGUAUAUUUAUAAUUGGAAUCUUCCAUAUUAUACAGAAUCUAAUUGUUCUGUACCUCACGUAUGAGAAUUUCAUCUUCAGAUGCAAAGAAAACCAAAGUUGAUGCGGUUGGAAUUUUAAACAAUAUUCAAACCGUAUGUCACGCUAUUACAAAUAGUUUCUAUGCAUUUAUGUUUUCUGUGCAAAGAUUAAAAGUUCGGUCGCGCUAAACAAACUAGUUCAUACAGUUUUAAUAAAAUCACAAGUUGGCGACUUGUCGUAGUUGCAACAUGUUAUGCCUAGCGAACUGUACCUUAACGGCGUCACGUAUCGGCUAUUGCUUAUUGCAUCAUUAUUUACAAGUUAAUUCUGUUAAUCUUAUCUUUUGUUACUCUGUUGAAUUAACUACGUGCUCGUGUACCUUUUCUGCUUCGUC